rnacentral:rRNA from 1 species
CCCCUAGAUGUUCUGGGCCGCACGCGCGCUACACUGAACAGUUCAACAAGUCUUAACCUUGGCCGAUAGGUCUGGGUAAUCUUUGAACGCUGUUCGUGAUUGGGAUAGACCUUUGCAAUUAUGGGUCUUCAACGAGGAAUUCCUAGUAAACGCAAGUCAUCAGCUUGCAUUGAUUACGUCCCUGCCCUUUGUACACACCGCCCGUCGCACCUACCGAUUGAAUGGUCCGGUGAAAUCUUCGGAUCUGAGAGAUGUCUGAUUAAUUUCGGACGCCUUUUGGAAAAGUUGCUUAAGCCUUACCAUUUAGAGGAAGGUGAAGUCGUAACA